rnacentral:lncRNA from 1 species
GCGCCGAAUGCUCCAAGUAGAAGGCCAAGGUUGCACUAGCUCUCCUCUUCUUCUCCUUAGGAUGUGUCGGCUAUGGGUAAGAGUGUCGAGGAAUUGGAUGAUGUUAGGAUUGAGAGAUCUUAGGGUGGGCUUAUAACUAAACAUUACUUUAAAAAGGUCCCGAAAAACUGUCCUAAAACAAAACAAAAUCCUAAACAAUUAAGGAAACAAACUAAGACAAAAUCCUUCUUUGACUGAGAAACACAUCAGCCAACUUGGACACACAUUAUGGGUUUGUUCCACUUCUGAGAAAAAAAAAAAAGAAGAAGAAGGGAAUUAUAGCUUUAUCUCUUAGCUUUCCAGAUAUAUAUCGCACACCACUAGGAAAAAUCGAGAAAGUCUUCAACUCUUCAAUCUUCCACAGCAGUGUAGUUUUGAUGGGGUUUCAACUUAGGCUGACUUGCAAUUCUGGAGCAUUGGCCUAUUAGAAAAUUAUGAAAUUUGACACAAUGAUCUUCAAUGUCUUAACUUUCUUCUCCAAUUUUCCUUGCGCUAAAAUUAUUCUAAAAAGUUGAUGUUCCGUCAAAAACCUUCUACGAAAGCAAAAAAGUUGAUUGGCAAAAAAUCUCAGCUCCUCUUCUUGUGCUUUUCGGCAUCUUUUCAAUUAAUCUCCA